rnacentral:rRNA from 1 species
GUCCUCUUGAUAAUAUUAUGAGGUCCGGCCUGCUCACUGACGAGGUUUAUUAAAGAGCCGCGGUAAUUUGACCGUGCAAAGGUAGCAUAAUCAUUAGUCUCUUAAUUAGGGGCUGGAAUGAAUGGCUUGACGAGAAAUCAACUGUCUCUUGAUAAAUUUUUGAAUUUAACUUUUGAGUCAAAAGGCUUAAAUUUUUCUUAAGGACGAGAAGACCCUAUAGAGCUUGACAUUUUAUUUAUAUAUAAUUUUUAGUUAGUCUUUUUAUAUUUAUUGAUGAUGUUUUGUUGGGGUGACAUGAAAAAUAAUUAAACUCUUCAUUAUUAAAUCAUUGAUUUAUGUAUAAAUGAUGAUCCAUAAUUUAUGAUCAUAAGAUUAAGUUACCUUAGGGAUAACAGCGUAAUUAUUUUCGAGAGCUCAUAUCGACAAAUUAGAUUUCGACCUCGA